GCGAGUGAAGUGGGAAGAGCUCAAAUUUGUAAUCUGGCACUUUCAGUGUCCGAGUUGUAAUCUCGAGAAGUGUUUUCCGCGCCGGACCGCAUACAAGUCUGUUGGAAUACAGCGUCAUAGUGGUGAGAACCCCGUAACUGAUGCGGAUGCCCGGUGCUUUGUGAUACACUUUCGAAGAGUCGAGUUGUUUGGGAAUGCAGCUCAAAUUGGGUGGUAAAUUCCAUCUAAAGCUAAAUAUUGGCGAGAGACCGAUAGCGAACAAGUACCGUGAGGGAAAGAUGAAAAGCACUUUGGAAAGAGAGUUAACAGUACGUGAAAUUGUUGGAAGGGAAACGCUUGAAGUCAGACUUGCUAUUUGGAGUUCAACCCAUGGUGUAUUCUUCAAUUUGCAGGCCAGCAUCAGUUUCUGGGGGUGGAAAAUCGUAGUUUGAAUGUAGCAGUUUCGGCUGUGUUAUAGCUUUCUACUGGAUUCAUCUUCGGGGACUGAGGAACGCAGUGCGCUUUUAGCAAGGCUCUCGAGCUUUACGCACUUAGGAUGCUGGUGGAAUGGCUUUAAACGACCCGU
rnacentral:rRNA from 1 species